GGCGCGGCCAGGCUGGCGGGCAGGGAGCUGCUCAUGGCGUCCUGCGAGGAGCUCGUGGCCUGCCUGCACAUACGGCUGGGGCCGGCUGUCAAGGUGUACGGCGCCAUCCGACAGCUGCGACGCGCCAUCACAUGAAAAAGCCAUCACUACGCUUCCCCAGUGACAUAAAUACUCUGGUAAACAGAGAAACACAGGAGACGUGCCCAGAAUUAAUCCUGUAUAACAUCAAAGUAUACCUAUUGGAAUGUCGAAAAUGCCCCCUGUGCCACAUCGGUAAAAUUAAACCUUACGUCUUCGUGUCACAAACACCGAUUGCCGCUUUACAGUUUGGGCACAUUUAUAUGGGAUGAAGCAAUUGUUUAUGACCUAGGACUGGACUAAUUCAUUCGUUAUGCCAUUUAACCUUUUUGAAGCCAAUGACGGAUAUAUCAGCACAGGUCCAACGCCGAAAACGGGUUAGUUCGUCACAGACUACAAAGCAACUUAGACCUACAUGCAUAUGUAUAGAGUUCAAUUUCAGUUUUGACACUUGUCGGUGAAGUGGCGUCCGAGUGAGAGCUUAGUGUUUGACACGGCGUCGAAAAGGUUAAUUUACCUCGUGGUGUAUGGCUAAGAGUUGUUUCCCUGACAAAUGUGUACAUACCUCAAAAUGGACUAUUAAGUGAUGAAAUCAAUAAGUUAUUUGAACUCAUAGAAGUAUGAAAGUUGAUAUUUUGCUUCGAUGAAGUAAAAUGAAAUGUCUCGAAAUUAAACAGAGCUGUUUUCCAAAGUAUUAUAAAUAAGUACUCAAUUUCGUUGAAUACUUGGAAAAUAAUACGAUUUAUGAAAACCUAUCAAGAGACUAUAUUGUCUGAUAUUCAUUGUACAUACUAUGUAAGUUUUUAAGAAAGUUCACUUUUAUUUUUGUAUUUAAUAAUUCGAAAGGGACAAUAUUGUUCGUAAGCUUGUUAUUGGUAGCGCAAAUGGAUUCAUUGGCUUUAAAAAUUGAGGUUGUGAGCUGUAUAAAUCUAACGCUUACAGCAUUUGUCUCGUUCUAGCAUCUUAAACUAGAACGUGAUAAACGCCAACAGCGAUAUAUGCUACCGUGUUAGGACUGCGGCGAUCCUGCGCGGCCUUACUACCGAUGUUCGAAAUAUUCUAUCUCUUUCGCUUGUAUUAUUCGAACUUUCGAACGAAAGAGAUGCAGAUAAGGUCACUACGGGUAAGUGCAGCAUUCAGAUAAGUGUAGCUGGCCUUCACAUUGGGGCCUUUUUACACAUUUAGUGUUAAGUGCGAAUCCAUACAUUUGUCUCUAAGCGAAAGUAGCAAGUCGCAAUAAUGAGUAAACCGGUUCACACACUUAUCCUGCAGCCACACUUACCCGCAUCGACUUUAGAUGACUUUCGUUUUUCGAUGUUAGGUCGGACUGGAUCGAGCGAAAUUCAAUAAAAAUCAAUGUUCUGUAAAAGAUAUAGUCAACGAUUAUUUUUAUGAAAUUAUCAAGAAAAUCCAUGGAAAGGAGCAAGUUUAAUAUUUUAAAUUAUGAACUUAUUAUUUUUUAAGCUUAUAAGAAAUACUAAUGUGCAAUUUAUGAUUUAGGUAUGUUCUCAAUAGAAAUAAUGUUUUAGUUGCUGACUUUUACAAAUUAUCGUAUCAGUCAACUGUAGGUUAAAUAGUGCAUGAUUUUAGUUGUUUUAAUAAUUUAUAUUAUGGAAUAUUUCUUAGGUUAAGUUUCUGCACGGUGUAUUAUUUUUGAGCGUACCAUAAUCACUGUUUUAUGUAUUUACCCCCUUAUUCAUAAACGUCUACUAAAGUUAACAAACCGCUAAUAAUCGUUUGUCCCUUUCCAUCAUACCAAUACGUCGGAAAGGGACAAACGAUUAUUAGCGGCUGUUUAACUUUAGUAGACGUUUAUGAAUAAGGGGAUUAGUGUUUGUCUCUCUCACGUUUACGCAAUAUCUGCAUGUCAGAAGGGACGAGCGCUAUAUGUCGGCGAAAACCUUAAUCCCCUGGUUUAAGAGUCACAUAAACUCGCCGCCAAAAAGCCGCUUCCAUACAAUCUGUAAGACUUAAUUUUUUUGAGGGAUAAAUUUCAGUUUUUACAUAAUAGUAGGUAUGCUCAAAAGUUUUGCCUUUUUUCUUAAAAUUCAGCUUAGUACAACAUUCGUAUACUAAAUACAAUGGACAAAUCUUAAUAUUUUAUAUCUAUGAAUGGAGUGUUAUAUAUUUUUCAUCAUACUUGCUCGAAAAAGGUCUUAUUUCAUGCAGGUGCACUGAAGGACAAAUAUUGUUCCCGGGGGAGUAAUUUUUAAAUAAUGUCACUAAUUCUUACGAACCAAGUAGGUUAUAGGUAAAAUACUUAAAUGUCAUUGUAUAUAAGUUUAUGUUUAAAAUAUUUAAUUUAGUUACUAGCCAUUUAAAAUAUUUUUACACAAUUUUCAAUAGUGGCGAAUGCUGGAUGGGCGUAUGUCUUUGAUGCCUAAUCUGUCAAAAUGGCGGACGAAUGUUUGCAGUGUCACGGUAUUUAAUAAUUAUGUCGCUUAAAAUUUAGUUUUUUCUUCGCAAGUGUGAUGAAAAACAUUGUGUUCAACUCCAGGGGCAAGAAUAUUGCAAACUUGAGUCUUAAAUUCACUCCAGCCUGCGGCUGUCGUAAAUUAACCCCCUCGUUUGCAAAAUUUCUCCUACCCCUCCUCGUUGCACAAUGUGCUAUUUAUUGUUCAUACAUUCACAAUUUUCCUUUUGGAAAUGAUGAAGAUCAUUUUAUAUCUUUGUAAAUAAAUAUGUCAUUGAGUGUAGUUCCUAAUAUAUUAAUCCUAAUAAUUUCUCUUUUUUUAUCAAUGUCUCAAAUUUGUAUGUAUUUUACACAUGCAGUCAACUUUAUGGUGUUUAACAAAUGAUUGUUGACAUUUUGUUAAAUUUGUAAAAAGUGAAUUAGAAUCUUGCUAUUGUGCCGGUGGCCAUGUACAAAGUUACAUUAAAUAGUAUAAUGUUUUUACAGAAAACUGUGUAGUGUUAAGGAAUGUGCCAUUCCCGGUGGCAUACGCUAUUCUAAACUGUUGUUCAACAAUAAAAUGUGAAAGAAAA